AGAAUCAACGCUGGCGGCGUGCCUAACACAUGCAAGUCGAACGAGAAAGUGGAGCAAUCCAUGAGUAAAGUGGCGCACGGGUGAGUAACACGUGACUAACCUACCUUUUAGUGGGGGAUAACCUAGGGAAACCUGGGCUAAUACCGCAUAAUACCUACGGGUCAAAGCAGCAAUGCGCUGGAAGAGGGGGUCGCGGUCGAUUAGUUAGUUGGCAGGGUAAUGGCCCACCAAGACAGUGAUCUGUA
rnacentral:rRNA from 1 species